CUGUGAGGGUUUGGCUGUGGGUAAACGUUCAUCUGACUUUAUUCAGCAGCACUUUCACUCCUGACACUGAGGAAGGAAAGCAUCAGGAAGACAUUUCUCUCCAGCAAAGCGGGACUGCCUGAUUAAUGUAGCAGGGGAAAUAAAGAUGGCUGGUCUGUGCUGGAUGGCUGUAAUGCUGGCCCUGCUGUUGUCUGCUGGAAACAGUUCGGCUGCUGUGGACCAGAACCAACUUGCAAGAUUUGUGGAUCAAAUUUUAAACACGUACAGGCCAAGCUACAUGCAUGAAGGACAAAGAAAAUCUCCCAUGUUCAGUCUGGCUAUUAGCAUCCCAUACAACAAUGAGAGCAGAAUGUAUGACAUCAGUCAAGUUCCUGACACCGGUGAACAAGUCAGGAAUGCCAUCCAAAACUGUGAUGUGUACAGCGGGACCAGGGUGGUGGCAGCCACGGUUCUGAGAUGGCCCGACGUUUUGAAUCAGUGUCCAACUCAACGUGUUCAAUGGCCUGAUGUUCUGAGACGAUGUCGUAGAGCACAAACAUGGGCAGAUGUGCAGAGACUCUGUCCUGGCAAAAUUCGUGAGGGUACAGCAGACCAUGCAGAGUUCCGUUCUCUGCAGCGCUUCAACUCCUUGCUCGCCAAUCACAGCAGAAAUGAUUUGCUGCUGUUUUAUGUGUUUGCGUCCCCAUGUGCUCAAAGAUGCGCCAGUUAUGGAGAUGACAGGAACAUUCUCGACCUCAUCAAUCCCAUACUGAGCUGGAAUAAUUAUGCUUUUGUGUUUUCCAAAGUUUUCAAGCCCCGCACAAACGACCCCAUACCUGAGGAGGACCUGCAGGGAGCUCUUAGGAUUCUCGGCACACACCAGGGGGCUUUAGGGGCAAUUGGUCUUGAAAACAUUUUCCGUUGCGACGGACCGCCUGGUAGGAAAGUGUGUACCAGCUGCUCCACAGGUGGUCAAGUUACACGCAGAUGUUAUGUUGACGAACCACAGCCUGGUCCUCGCCGUCAGGGCUAGGGGGCAUCCUGCCUCAGAGCCUUCUGUGAUUCAGGUCAAACAGAUUUGCAGGAACAUGAGCAGUGUUUUACUGUCCAAAUGAUGGUUUGUAUUUGUCAGCAGACCAAACCAAACCCACAUUUUCAUAGAACAAAAGUGUCGGGUUGCUGGGCAGCAUUGGUGGCAAGAGUAUUUACAUUAUGUAGCUAAAGAUAAGCUGUGUAGUUUCAUAUAGUUGUCAUAUAGACACAAUCACAGUGACAUUCACACCUACAAACAAUUUAGAAUCACCAAUUAACCUCAGCAUGUUUUUGGAAUGUGGGAGGAAGCCGGAGGCCCCAGAGAAAACUCAUGCAUGCACAGGGAGAACAUGAAAACUCCAUGCAGAAAGAUUCUAGAGAUCUUCUAGCUGCAAGGGGAAAGUGCUAACCAGCAAACCACUGUGCAGUCCCACAUUUUACAUGUAAAAUAUAAUUAAUAUAGUGAGAUUUUGGAAAAAUCAGAAAUCCAGAGUGUAAUUUGUGAAAUACAUUUCUGUCUUAAUUGAUUUAAAGGUGUGAAUGAAAUAACAGAAACACCACUACAUCAUAGUCUUUGAGAAGGAAGAAUUUUUUCAACUGGGUGAAUCUAUUAAACUGAAGCAACCCAGACUCUGUCAACGUAUUGAUUCAUGUUCCUGUAGAUCUGUUAGAACCUGAGAUUACAUCCACAGCAGUCAAACGACCCACGGAGGCCAGCAGAAAAACAUUUCUUAUGCUUAAAAUGCUUUUCUCUAUCUUCAUACUACGUGUUAAUCUCUCCAGCAUAUCCACUAAUGGAAUGAUUUAUGUUGAACUCUCAUUAGUUUUCAGGCGAUUUCACAUUACACAUAAUGACCCAGUCAAAUCAAACAUUUAGAAAUGCUGCAUGAAUCCUUCUGAAGAGGAUCAAACAUGGUCAAGAAAAUUAGUCAUUGUUUCUUCAACAGUCCUUUCAGUGUUACACAGAGGAAACAGUGGCCCCAGACACUGGGUUCAUUUACUAAAGUUAAGUUGGGAUUCAGUUCAUUUGUUUUAAACCUACUUUAUGAAAUCAAUAAAAAAUAUCAGUAUUAAUGACUCUUUAUGUACUUCAGACACUGCUCUUUGUACCUUUACAAAUGACCUCAGAUCUCUUGUGCUGUGAUUAAAGCUUGGCUCAGCAUCACU